AUUCAGUCAUGAAAAGGACCCAAGAAUGUGUGACAAAUCCAGAAAGUUGACUCCCAGAAGGGAGGUGAGGAGGCCGCACCCUGUAAAUAUGUCCAUGUGAGGAUGUGCUGCCAGGAGCCAGGGACAGGCUGACGAGGAACAGAAUCCAGCCACUCUGGACUGCACACCAUCGCCUCUUCCCUCUCCUGCAUUGGGUUGGACCAAGCUGGAGGGGAUCUGAGGCUCGUCUCCACUCCCGUGCUCCAUGCCAGUAAGUAAAUCCUCACUGCAGACUCCUCGCACCCCAGGAACUCUUGCCUACUUAGAAAUCCAUCGCAGCCUCAAGCAUCCUGGAGAGUUCCUGAUCAGUAUUCAAUUUCUGCCUCUCACCACCCAGGGAGAGUGGCCACAGAAAGAAGCCAGCACAAUGGCAGAGGAUUGCUGCCUCUCCACAAGCAUUCAGAACAGCAAACUUAUAGGGAUGGGGAGAGAGUGUGGGUGCCUAGGGCUGGGGUUCCAGUGAAGGGGUGUGCAAUGUCUUCC
ensembl:lncRNA